rnacentral:rRNA from 1 species
GAAUUCGCCCUUAGAGUUUGAUCCUGGCUCAGGACGAACGCUGGCGGCGCGCCUAACACAUGCAAGUCGAACGAGCGAGAGAGAGCUUGCUUUCUCAAGCGAGUGGCGAACGGGUGAGUAACGCGUGAGGAACCUGCCUCAAAGAGGGGGACAACAGUUGGAAACGACUGCUAAUACCGCAUAAGCCCACAGCUCGGCAUCGAGCAGAGGGAAAAGGAGCAAUCCGCUUUGAGAUGGCCUCGCGUCCGAUUAGCUAGUUGGUGAGGUAAUGGCCCACCAAGGCAACGAUCGGUAGCCGGACUGAGAGGUUGAACGGCCACAUUGGGACUGAGACACGGCCCAGACUCCUACGGGAGGCAGCAGUGGGGAAUAUUGCACAAUGGGGGAAACCCUGAUGCAGCGACGCCGCGUGGAGGAAGAAGGUCUUCGGAUUGUAAACUCCUGUUGUUGAGGAAGAUAAUGACGGUACUCAACAAGGAAGUGACGGCUAACUACGUGCCAGCAGCCGCGGUAAAACGUAGGUCACAAGCGUUGUCCGGAAUUACUGGGUGUAAAGGGAGCGCAGGCGGGAAGACAAGUUGGAAGUGAAAUCUAUGGGCUCAACCCAUAAACUGCUUUCAAAACUGUUUUUCUUGAGUAGUGCAGAGGUAGGCGGAAUUCCCGGUGUAGCGGUGGAAUGCGUAGAUAUCGGGAGGAACACCAGUGGCGAAGGCGGCCUACUGGGCACCAACUGACGCUGAGGCUCGAAAGUGUGGGUAGCAAACAGGAUUAGAUACCCUGGUAGUCCACACCGUAAACGAUGAUUACUAGGUGUUGGAGGAUUGACCCCUUCAGUGCCGCAGUUAACACAAUAAGUAAUCCACCUGGGGAGUACGACCGCAAGGUUGAAACUCAAAGGAAUUGACGGGGGCCCGCACAAGCAGUGGAGUAUGUGGUUUAAUUCGACGCAACGCGAAGAACCUUACCAAGUCUUGACAUCCUGCGACGAUGCUGGAAACAGUAUUUUCCUUCGGGACGCAGAGACAGGUGGUGCAUGGUUGUCGUUAGCUCGUGUCGUGAGAUGUUGGGUUAAGUCCCGCAACGAGCGCAACCCUUACUGUCAGUUACUACGCAAGAGGACUCUGGCAGGACUGCCGUUGACAAAACGGAGGAAGGUGGGGAUGACGUCAAAUCAUCAUGCCCUUUAUGACUUGGGCUACACACGUACUACAAUGGCGUUAAACAAAGAGAAGCAAGACCGCGAGGUGGAGCAAAACUCAGAAACAACGUCCCAGUUCGGACUACAGGCUGCAACUCGCCUGCACGAAGUCGGAAUUGCUAGUAAUCGUGGAUCAGCAUGC